GCUUAGGACAGCACUGGCCAGAAUCCUGACAAACGGUAGGUUCUAUUGUAAUGUUUUUGUUCUUUAAAAGCGUCAUAGUACUUGUUCACAGUUAAAGAAACGACUUUCAUUUAUAUCAGGUUAAAAUUUAAAGAAACGACUUUCGUUUAUAUCAGGUUAUAAAUUUGAUGACUACAGUGCACAGCUGGUCAAUCUGAUGACCUCCCAAUUUUCUCAUAUAAAUGAUCUGCAGUACUGUCCUUACCUUACCUUAAAGCACCAAUCUUUGGGAGUAAAAAAGAAAAGUAUCUGUAGUGCAAGAGCGUACCUGAGUAGAGAACCUGA